ensembl:lncRNA
AAAGGCUGCACUUGCAGCAUAAGGAAGUUCCCUGGCUAGGGGUGGAAUUGGAGCUGCAGCUGCCGGCCUACAUCACAGCCAUAGCAAUGCAGGAACUGAGCUGUGCCUGCAACCUAUACCACAGGUCAUGGCAAUGCGGGAUCGGUCACCCACUGAGCGAGUCCAGGGAUCCAACCCGCAUCUUCAUGGACACUAGGCCCAGACGGUCAGUGGCUGGGCAGCAGCACGCCCCAGAUCAUGGGGUUUCAAUUUGGAGGCUGCCGUUACGGGGGAGCUGGCCACCUUGGUGUCCCUGAAAGCAGGGCUCAGGCUCCCCUGGGCCUGGGCUGCAGGAACCAUCCCCCACCCUCCCCUGCACCUACCGCAGGCUGAGCCAGAGGCAGCAGGUGUUCCUGGCCCCUGCCAGCCGGAACUGGGUCCGGGUAGGGCCAACGCCCAAGGAACUGGGUCGCAAGGCCAGUCCCACCACUGCAAAGUCCAGCGAUUAGGGAAACAAUGAACCAGGAGCAAAGCAAACACAAGCCAUCUUUGAAAGCCCGGGGUCCCUCCUCUGUACUCUGCCUACUCCUCCCAACCCCCAAACCAACUACAAUUCUGAGAAGAGCACUUUUAAGGAAGGAAGGGGGAAAAUUAACCACCCAGCUGAACAUUUUCCCAGUAAAGCCAGAACUGGCAUAUCAGAGGCUUCCUUGAAAGACUCUGAGACAUUUGCUGGGGGCAAGUGGAGCUCGGGCCCUGUGCUAGGCAUUGGAGAUCCAGCAAUGAUGAAACAGAUAAAAAUCUUUGCCUCCGGGAGUUCACGUUUUCAUAGGAGGAAGAAUAAUGAAGAGAAUUAUAGAGGGCUAGGAAAUACCGGUGCUUCAGCGAAGUAAUGCCAAUGAUGAAAAGAGCGGCCAAGGCUGACUGAGCACUUACUCUGGGUCUAAGUGCUUUACACACAGGGGCUCAGUUAAUCCUCUCGACAAUGGGUAUUGUUCUCCUGCCCAUUUCACAGACAGGAGAGCAGACAGGAGGCAAGGCGCAGGAGGACCAACAGGCAUGGAGAAAACAAGGAGCGCUGAUAAGAAAGGGCAAGAGGUUCCUUCUUCCCCUUCCUGAUUUUGUUCCGUUUUCAGGAGAGCAAAAUGGGCAGGAAGCCUGGUGUGCUCCCUGGCCUCAAACUGGGAGAGGGGGCUUCAACCAGCGUAGGCCUCUCUACUCCCCGAUGGUUUUUAAGAGAUCGGACAGGGUUGUGGGCCUCUCCAUGUCCUCCCUUUUCUCCCAGAGCUAAGGCUUUGGAGCUGGUUCAGAUCCCAGCUCCACCAGCUCAGCCCUGCCUGGCUCUGGGCAGAGGAGCAUCCACCUGCAGCCUCCCUUUCCGUUGAUGGGAAAUGAAGAUUAAAACUCCCUCUCCCAGGCGACUCAGGAACAGAUGUCAGGUCUGCCCCCCGCCCCCUGCAGUGACGGAUGCCUCGCCAACACUGGAUGCCGAGGACCCCAACUCUCGGGACUCCGAGAUGCCCUCCUCCCUUCUCAAGCGCUGAAAGGGCAGAGACACAGGUCACCCAGCUCUGCACAGAGGGGCCCGUGGCAGGGGGCUGAGCACGGAGCAGACACUCAGGAAAUGCUUGAUCAGUGAACACUGAAGUGAGCGGACAGUGAACCUUCCUUAGAACCUGAGCCCUGGAGUGAACGCAUCUUUAGAAGCGCAGGUUACUAGGCUCGUUCUCCAAGGUGCGAAUCUAAGGUGUUGAAACCAUUCUCACUGUUGAGCGGUGGCACAAGCCUUCAAGGAAAUGGAUUAAAACACCUCAUUAAGCUGGGGCCGCCAUGGCACCAGGACACUCCAAAUGUUCAAUCCAAGGGACACCAGAUCAGGGGCUGUGUGUGACCUGGGACCCUGGCCCACCCUUCAAUCUAGGUCCCAUGAGAUCCAGGGCAAGAUGCUCAGCCAUCACGCCUCAGCCUCCUCCUCUUAAAAACGGGGAGGUUAGGUGCAGAGGGAAUGAAUGGCAGGCCCCAAAGCAGUGGCUUCUCCAACAAGGUCAAAAUCACCGAAACCUACUGAAUCACGUGGGGACGGGAGGCAGGGGCAGAAAUUACCAGCCUGGGUAAGAGGAGGCCUUAUGGAUCCAGGAAUCAACGUGCUUCUACAGCUUUCUCAGGGCCGGUCUGUUAACUGUCAGUAUGCCGAUCGCCCCUGAGUUCCAUCAGAAGGGCUUACUGCUUCUUUGUAACUGCCCUGGGUCUGCCAGCAUUUAGCUGGGGUGCCAGCCCCAGGGCUGGGAGCAAGGGGCCAGCUGUUUAUGACAUGGCACUGGUGCCCAGGGCAGGCCGAGGGCCACAUCAGCCAGGGCAAGAGGUCCAAGGCCAAUGUUCUCUCCAGGCUUGAACCUCAAAACGCCCACGUGCCAUGGCGGUCACCGCCAGGCUCUUCUUCUGGGGAGGCUGUCACUUGACCCCAACUUCCUUCACACCUGUAGGGUGGGAAGGAGCAGGCAGGCACCAGAAUCCUUAUUUUGUGGAUGAGAAAGUGGCUUCAUGGGGAGGCUGCCUGUCCACCAACGUCCCAUUUCAGAGCUCUGAGUUAAGCCCGCUGCAUGCACUCAGCCCUCACAGGUGGGGACUUUAUUUUUAGCCCCAAUCUUCAGGUGGUGACAGAUACUGAGAAGGCACAGACAUCUGCCCAAGUCAUCCAGCUGAGCAACUAAGGGGAGACCUGAACCCAGAGCCUCUGCCCCUAACUUCUAGAAGAUGCCAAGCUGCUCAAUGGAGGAGGAAGAGACAGGAUUCUAAUCCAGCUUCUCCCCACUACAGCCCUGAUAUUUUCCUGGCUAUACCCCCGCCCGCCAGCAGUGUGGGUGCCUCAGGCCAGGACAUCUCCUGGCGCUUCGACACCCCAAGGUAAAGUCUGCUGAAGACCCCUUGUCAGCAGGCCUCCAGAAGGCCUGGCCCAGCACAACGUGGACCAUGAGGCGGCUGCACCCACAAAGGGCCCAUUGUGGUGAUUGCAGAAAGCCAGGGCCAGACCCCGCUGGGCCCUCUGCAGAGCCUUGAGCAGAGCCUGCGGCCUCCUGCCCUUCCCCAUGCAGCCCCCAGACCCAGAGCGCAGGACCAGGGGGGCUGGAGGACAGGCCUCCUGCGUGGGAGAGCCUGAGCUUAAGGAAACCUGAAACGCUCCAGCUGUUGCCUGGCGGGUGGGACUGCAGACCCCUGCGGAUCCCCGGGGGCUCAUCCGGGGUACCCUGCACGCACCUGUCAGCUAGGGUGGGGUCCACGCAAUGAGGCUCUGUGGAGGGGAGGAAGGGGGUGGCUGGCUUGCUCCUAACCUAGGGGAAGCAGGAAAUCCGUUUCCCAACCUGGGGAGGACCGGGAUGCGAGUUUGCGAGGUGCCGGGGCAGCCUGGGGAGGGGACUCCCCGGAGGGAAACGGUGGAGCGAAACAAGAGGUGGGUGGCCUCGCCUCCCGCUGCACGAGGGGGCCCUUUGUGUGCGGCUGGGGGCCCGCCCGGGGUCCCCGAGGCCUUCGGAGGC